GACGAACGCUGGCGGCGUGCUUAACACAUGCAAGUCGAACGGAAAGGCCCUGCUUUUGUGGGGUGCUCGAGUGGCGAACGGGUGAGUAACACGUGAGUAACCUGCCCUUGACUUUGGGAUAACUUCAGGAAACUGGGGCUAAUACCGGAUAGGAGCUCCUGCUGCAUGGUGGGGGUUGGAAAGUUUCGGCGGUUGGGGAUGGACUCGCGGCUUAUCAGCUUGUUGGUGGGGUAGUGGCUUACCAAGGCUUUGACGGGUAGCUGGCCUGAGAGGGUGACCGGCCACAUGGGGACUGAGAGACGGCCCAGACUCCUACGGGAGGCAGCAGUGGGGAAUAUUGCACAAUGGGCGGAAGCCUGAUGCAGCAACGCCGCGUGCGGGAUGACGGCCUUCGGGUUGUAAACCGCUUUCGCCUGUGACGAAGCGUGAGUGACGGUAAUGGGUAAAGAAGCACCGGCUAACUACGU
rnacentral:rRNA from 1 species